AGGAAGUCGUGAGGUAGACGCGCGAGGAAGAUAAAAUGAGAAGAAAGAGAAAGGCGGGGGGGUUUCAUAUUCAAACAGACAACGAAAGACACCUCGGAUACGCAACCAAGCCACCCCCCCAUUGUCCCAAAUCCUCCUCGCUGCACUGCCAGCCUCGGUUGUCGUGCAAUUUUUAAGCCCUACCCCACUCACCUCUAUCUCCACAAAAGCCACCAUCCUCUUCACUUUCCUUCAGCCCAUAUCCUUCUCUUUUAGAUUGAACCUUUUUCUUUUCCCCCUUUCUCUACACAACUAGGUGUCAUACAGUUGAAGAUGUGCGCUUCGAUUAACCUUCAAGCUCUCACUUUUCAUGGUCUUCUUCUCAUGCUUGUGCAGUUCCCUGAGAGCUGGUUUCUCCCCAAAAGGUUCAAAGACAGUAUUGAUGCAGUUGAAGAUUAUCAUCCCUGUGAACUUUGAACAUGAAAUAUUACUUUUAAGUUCUGCCGAAUUUAUGCAUUGACAUAAUUGAGAUAUGGAGUAGGGAAUGAAGCCAUCGGUCCGUGUAGCAUAGGGUAAAUGUAUAAUAAUUGACAGUUACUGUAAAUUUUUAGUGCGUUCUGAAAUUUUUAGCUGAUACAAACAAUGUUUUAAUCUUUUUCACUUUUGUUGUGCUUUGAUAUAUUCUAUCUUCCAAUCGUAUGAUGCAUUGGUCUGCCUCCCAAAA